AUUGAACGCUGGCGGCAUGCUUUACACAUGCAAGUCGAACGGUAACAGGCCUUCGGGUGCUGACGAGUGGCGAACGGGUGAGUAAUGCAUCGGAACGUACCGUGUAAUGGGGGAUAACGUAGCGAAAGUUACGCUAAUACCGCAUACGCCCUGAGGGGGAAAGCGGGGGAUCGUAAGACCUCGCGUUAUACGAGCGGCCGAUGUCGGAUUAGCUAGUUGGUGGGGUAAAGGCCUACCAAGGCGACGAUCCGUAGCGGGUCUGAGAGGAUGAUCCGCCACACUGGGGAUGAGACACGGCCCAGACUCCUACGGGAGGCAGCAGUGGGGAAUUUUGGACAAUGGGGGCAACCCUGAUCCAGCCAUGCCGCGUGCGGGAAGAAGGCCUUCGGGUUGUAAACCGCUUUCGGACGGAAAGAAAUCGUCCUCUCUAACAUAGGGGAUGGAUGACGGUACCGUAAGAAGAAGCACCGGCUAACUACGUGCCAGCCGCCGCGGUAAGAC
rnacentral:rRNA from 1 species